rnacentral:rRNA from 1 species
GACGAACGCUGGCGGCGUGCUUAACACAUGCAAGUCGAACGAUGAAGAAGAGACACGCGCACUUCGGUUCAAAUUUCACUUCGGAUUAGUGGCAGACGGGUGAGUAACGCGUGAGCAACCUACCUCUUACAAAGGGAUAGCCUCGGGAAACCGUGAUUACUACCAUAUGACACAUUCAUAAGGCAUCUUAAGAAUGUUAAAGCUACGGCGGUAAGAGAUGGGCUCGCGUCCCAUUAGCUAGUUGGUGAGGUAACGGCCCACCAAGGCGACGAUGGGUAACCGGCCUGAGAGGGUGAACGGUCACAUUGGAACUGAGACACGGUCCAAACUCCUACGGGAGGCAGCAGUGGGGAAUAUUGCACAAUGGAGGGAACUCUGAUGCAGCGACGCCGCGUGAGCGAUGAAGGAAUUCGUUUCGUAAAGCUCUGUUCUAUGGGAAGAAAAGGACUGUACCAUAGGAGAAAGCCCCGGCUAAAUACGUG